rnacentral:rRNA from 1 species
UACUCCUACGGGAGGCAGCAGUAGGGAAUCUUCCACAAUGGACGCAAGUCUGAUGGAGCAACGCCGCGUGAGUGAUGAAGGGUUUCGGCUCGUAAAACUCUGUUGUUGGAGAAGAACGGGUGUCAGAGUAACUGUUGACAUCGUGACGGU